rnacentral:rRNA from 1 species
AGGGAUCAUUACUGAGUUUACGCUCUACAACCCUUUGUGAACAUACCUAUAACUGUUGCUUCGGCGGGUAGGGUCUCCGUGACCCUCCCGGCCUCCCGCCCCCGGGCGGGUCGGCGCCCGCCGGAGGAUAACCAAACUCUGAUUUAACGACGUUUCUUCUGAGUGGUACAAGCAAAUAAUCAAAACUUUUAACAACGGAUCUCUUGGUUCUGGCAUCGAUGAAGAACGCAGCGAAAUGCGAUAAGUAAUGUGAAUUGCAGAAUUCAGUGAAUCAUCGAAUCUUUGAACGCACAUUGCGCCCGCCAGCAUUCUGGCGGGCAUGCCUGUUCGAGCGUCAUUUCAACCCUCAAGCUCUGCUUGGUGUUGGGGCCCUACAGCCGAUGUAGGCCCUCAAAGGUAGUGGCGGACCCUCCCGGAGCCUCCUUUGCGUAGUAACUUUACGUCUCGCACUGGGAUCCGGAGGGACUCUUGCCGUAAAACCCCCCAAUUUUCCAAAGGUUGACCUCGGAUCAGGUAGGAAUACCCGCUGAACUUAAGCAUA